AUACGUAGGGUGCAAGCGUUAAUCGGAAUUACUGGGCGUAAAGCGUGCGCAGGCGGUUUUGUAAGACAGAGGUGAAAUCCCCGGGCUCCACCUGGGAACUGCCUUUGUGACUGCAAGGCUAGAGUACGGCAGAGGGGGAUGGGAUUCCGCGUGUAGCAGUGAAAUGCGUAGAUAUGCGGAGUAACACCGAUGGCGAAGGCAAUCCCCUGGGCCUGUACUGACUCUCAUGCACGAAAGCGUGGGGAGCAAACAGUAUUAGAUACCCUGGUAGUCCACGCCCUAAACGAUGUCAACUGGUUGUUGGGUCUUCAUUGACUCAGUAACGAAGCUAACGCGUGAAGUUGACCGCCUGGGGAGUACGGCCGCAAGGUUGAAACUCAAAUGAAUUGACGGGG
rnacentral:rRNA from 1 species